AUAUUGGACAAUGGGCGCAAGCCUGAUCCAGCCAUGCCGCGUGAGUGAUGAAGGCCUUAGGGUUGUAAAGCUCUUUUGUCCGGGACGAUAAUGACGGUACCGGAAGAAUAAGCCCCGGCUAACUUCGUGCCAGCAGCCGCGGUAAUACGAAGGGGGCUAGCGUUGCUCGGAAUCACUGGGCGUAAAGGGCGCGUAGGCGGCCAUUCAAGUCGGGGGUGAAAGCCUGUGGCUCAACCACAGAAUUGCCUUCGAUACUGUUUGGCUUGAGUUUGGUAGAGGUUGGUGGAACUGCGAGUGUAGAGGUGAAAUUCGUAGAUAUUCGCAAGAACACCAGUGGCGAAGGCGGCCAACUGGACCAAUACUGACGCUGAGGCGCGAAAGCGUGGGGAGCAAACAG
rnacentral:rRNA from 1 species